UUCGCAAUGCCCGAAAGGGUGACGAAGCGACGCCGCGUGGGUGAGGAAGGCCUUCGGGUUGUAAAGCCCUGUCAGGAGUUAAGAAAUGUAAGUGCGCUAAUAUCGCAUUUAUUUGACGAAGGCUCCAAAGGAAGUCACGGCUAACUCUGUGCCAGCAGCCGCGGUAAUACAGAGGUGGCAAGCGUUGUUCGGAAUUAUUGGGCGUAAAGAGCACGUAGGUGGGUUUGUAAGUCAGAUGUGAAAGCCUUCUGUUCAACGGAAGAAUUGCAUCUGAAACUGCGAGUCUUGAGUGUAGGAGGGGAGAAUGGAACUUCUGGUGGAGCGGUGAAAUGCGUAGAUAUCAGAAGGAACGCCGGCGGCGAAAGCGAUUCUCUGGCCUAUUACUGACACCCAGUGUGCGGAAGCUAGGGGAGCAAACGGGAUUAGAUACCCCGGUAGUCCUAGCCGUAAACGAUGGGCACUAAGUAGAGGGGUUUU
rnacentral:rRNA from 1 species